UCCCUCCAGAUUCCUUAUCCCUCAAACUUAAUUAGUGGUCUGAGUGGCAUUAAAAAGAGGAAAAUUAAAGUUGAAAUGAACUUGGAGUCUUUAGUUAUUAGUAAACAAGUUCGUCUCACCAGAGU
rnacentral:snoRNA from 1 species